UACGGAGGGUGCAAGCGUUAUCCGGAUUCACUGGGUUUAAAGGGUGCGUAGGCGGGUUGGUAAGUCCGUGGUGAAAUCCCCAAGCUUAACUUGGGAACUGCCGUGGAUACUAUCAAUCUUGAAUAUCGUGGAGGUAAGCGGAAUAUGUCAUGUAGCGGUGAAAUGCUUAGAUAUGACAUAGAACACCAAUUGCGUAGACAGCUUACUACACGAUCAUUGACGCUGAGGCACGAAAGCGUGGGGAGCAAACAGG
rnacentral:rRNA from 1 species